rnacentral:rRNA from 1 species
GACGAACGCUGGCGGCGUGCCUAAUACAUGCAAGUCGAACGCAGUGGGGACGGGUGAGUAACACGUGGGUAACCUCCCAUCAGAGCGGAUAACACUUGGAAACAGGUGCUAAACCGAUACUGAUGGAUGGACCCGCGGUGCAUUAGAUAGUUGGUGAGGUAACGGCUCACCAAGGCCACGAAGCAUAGCCGACCUGAGAGGGUGAGCGGCCACGCUGGGACUGAGACACGGGCCAGACUCCUACGGGAGGCAGCAGUAGGGAAUCUUCGGAAAUGGACGAAAGGCUGACCGAGCAACGCAGCGUGAGUGAAGAAGGUUUUCGGAUCGUAAAGCUCUGUUAUGAAGGAAGCGGUACUUAACCAGAAAGGGACGGCUAACUACGUGCCAGCAGCCGCGGUAAUUC